rnacentral:lncRNA from 1 species
UGACGGCAGUCAGCUGAUGCUGUCAGCUAGUGAACGGCAACUGGAUAGACUUCAGGCUUCAGCACUCUUGGUCUAGAAUUCCAGAAGGGACCUGGGUAAGUGGGUAUCCCAUUCCCAGUAAACCAGGUCAUGUGCUACUUACAUCAUACCCACUACAGCAGUCUUAAGGCUGAGGGUUUCAUAUCCUGUGUUGCCCCUUCAAACAUUGAGGUCUGCCACCUCUUCCGAAGAUCCAAAUUAGAUAUGGACCUUAUCUCCUUAUUAUCUUAUUACUUUGUGUAAUAUAUGUAUAUUGGUUUAGUUAUGUUUCUAGAUUUCUAGUUUGUGUACAUUGAAGUAGACAAUAUGUAGAUGUUUAUUCAUGUAUUGUUCUUUCCACCCAACAGAUGACCAGAAAAAAGUCCAAGAAGAUUUUGAUAUAGAUAUGGAGGCUCCAGAAACAGAACGGGCAGCGGUGGCAAUACAGUCCCAGUUCAGAAAAUUCCAAAAGAAAAAGCAAGGAGCAGAUGACUCGUAGUACCUACCUCUUCCUCUAGGGAAUUUAAAUAAAUAAUAAAAGCCUAUCAGAAUAAAAGAGAAAUAUAGAAUGAUUUAUCAGGAAAUUAGGAAAAUCUAGGAUGCAUGUACAGAAGUUUCCAUUAUCUGUAGCUCCAUUAAGCGAACAAUAUAUCAUUGAGCACUUGGUGUGGUUGCUCACUGCAGUACAUUUAUUUAAAAAAAAAAAAAACAGUUUAACUUGUAACCUUCUCUUUUAUGUGAUGUUCUAAUAAAACAUGCUUACUAUAAGAACCGAUGGAAAA